GCGAAACCAGAUCACACGUGACCAUCUGUUCCAUCAGCUGCUGCAGGCUGGGAUCCUCUCCACAUCUCAGUUUUUUAAAGGGUUCUCAGAAACCCUCGAGAUAGCAGAUGAUAUGGCGAUUGACAUUCCUUAUGUAUGGCAGUACAUAGCGGAGCUCGUUAAUCCUGUGCUUCGGGAAGGAGGAAUCUCUUUGAGAUAAUUAUUAAUUGAAUUUAGCAAACCACUACUUCCUGUGGCAAGAGCCGGCAUAUUAUUUGCAGAAAUAUUGCAGCUUCUCUGCAAACAAAUGAGCCAAAAGGAAGUGGAGGUCUUAUGGAGGA